UUGUUUAUCACUAUUACCCAUAGAUAUCUCAUAUCUAUGCAAAAAUUACUUACGAAAGAAUAUAAGCCCAGGGCUUAUAGUUGGAGGUUUACGGUAGUACAAUUGCACUUGCAAAGAGUGCAAUGGAACAUAUUCCAUUGCACUCUUAGGAAAUGGAAUUUUCUAUUCAAUAUCAUGUGACCAUAAACAUGGCAUUAAACGAUCAGAAUUCAAUAAGUAUAGGUUAUUUUGAGGCAACGAGGGGAUAUGUGAUUUAUUCACCGAGGCGCGCAGCGCCGAGGUGAAUAAACACAUAUCCCCGAGGUGCCUCAAAAUAACGUACUUAUUUUUCACACUGCGAG